rnacentral:misc_RNA from 1 species
AAGUCGUAACAAGGUUUCCGUAGGUGAACCUGCGGAAGGAUCAUUAUGAAUUUGUCGAGUCUUUAUUUUUAUAAAGACUCUUCGUUUUCUGUGAACUGGAUCGUUUUUUUUUCUUGUUGGCUCUGUUAUCCUUUAUGGAUUGUGGGGUUGACUUGGAAUGGCGAUUGCUUUAUUGUUAUUCUGUUGUGUUUGUUUUUUUACAAGUUUUCUUUGUAAUGAAAGACAACUUUCAGCAAUGGAUCUCUUGGCUCUU